UACAGAGGGGGCAAGCGUUAUUCGGAAUUAUUGGGCGUAAAGGGCGCGUAGGCGGCUUGGCAAGUGGAUGGUGAAAUCCCUCGGCUUAACCGAGGAACUGCCAUCCAGACUGCUUUGCUUGAGGCCGGGAGAGGUGAGUGGAAUUCCCAGUGUAGCGGUGAAAUGCGUAGAUAUUGGGAGGAACACCAGUGGCGAAGGCGGUUGCCUGGAGCUUUGCUGACGCUGAGGCGCGAAAGCGUGGGGAGCGAUCCGG
rnacentral:rRNA from 1 species